GGCCAACAAGGUAGCAUCAGCCUUGCUCUAAGUUGAAGGCUGUUUCCAUCUAUUUAUAUGUUGCAGUAAUCGAUCAAUCCAAUUAGCUAACUUGCUGUUUCUUUUUCAUAAACGAGUGUUUUGUGUGCCAUUGAAUACAGGUAAAAAUUAUCUUCUGCCUCUGCUGCCGUCUCCUCUUCAGACCCCUUUGCUUCCAAUGCCUCUUGGUUUCAUGACAUGGAUCGCUCCGCUUCCAGUCUGACACCAUCCUGCAGCAGGGCUCCUUUUUUUCAGGCUACCAAGAAAUAUACAUAGGUAUGAUCUUCUGCGUGUUCCUGACGGAGUCGAUGCGGCUGCGGAGCUCGCGGAGGGAGCACCACACCACGAGGCCCGUGCGCGAGGCGGAGCGCCGCUGGGUUGAGGAGGCGCCGCUGGCGAGCGCCGAUGAGGACCAGGCGGUGGAGAGGUGGGAACACGACAUGACUACUAGCCCCCGGCAACGGGGGAAACGGAAGUGACAAGGAGCGGGCGGAACGGGAUGCCACCACAAGCAGCUCCUUGCCGCCACCUCCUACUUCGACAUGCUCAACGGCGCCUCUCGCAACCGCGCGUACCGCCUCGCCAUCGGCGCGACGGUCACGGACCCCACAUCCCAUGUCCUCGACAUCAGGUGAGCUGUGUCCCAUGCAAAGUUUGCUGAAAAUUACCGUAUGUACUCCUGUAGCCACUUUGUUAAAGGACUGGAAUUCUUGAUAUUUAUAUCACCAAUAUAGUAUUAGUGUUACGGUGAUAUUUUGCCA